rnacentral:rRNA from 1 species
GACAGAGGGCCCGAGCGUUGUUCGGAUUCAUUGGGCGUAAAGGGUGUGUAGGAGGCUAGGUAAGUCAGGUGUGAAAUCUCAGAGCUUAACUCUGAAACUGCGCUUGAUACUGCUUGGCUAGAGGAUCGGAGGGGGUAACGGAAUUUAUGGUGUAGCAGUGAAAUGCGUAGAUAUCAUAAGGAACACCGGUGGCGAAGGCGGUUACCUGGAAGAUUCCUGACUCUGAAACACGAAAGCCAGGGGAGCAAACGGG